rnacentral:lncRNA from 1 species
ACACACAGACUCUGCAGGGGAUAGAAGUUGGCUAUGUUGUUCCAUAAGCAUAUUUUCAACUCAGCACAAUGAAGACCAUUGUCCUAGAUGGCCUGCUGGGGAAAUGGAUUAUGUAAUUAUGAAGAGCUGAGAUUUAACACUUAUGCCAGUAUCUGCUGGCCAGGCUGGAGGGCAGUGGCAAUCAUAGCUCACUGUAGCCUUGAACUCCUGGGCUUAGGUGUUCUCCUGACUCAGUCUUCCAAGUAGCUGGAACUACAGGUGUGUGCCACCAUGCCUGGCUAAUUUUUUAAAUCUUUUGCAGAGAUAGGGUCUUGCUAUGUUGCCCAGACUGGUCUCCAACUCUUGGACUCAGAAAUCAACUCUAAGGAAAGAAGUAGGCAGGAAACCUGUUGAAAGAAAAUGAAAGCAUUAUAUUUCAGCAAUUACUUAAAUCCUGCAAGAAGAUCAUGUUUGAUGGACACUGAAACUGGACAUUGUAGAAGAUGAAUUAUGAGAGUGAUUUAUGAAAGAAAGACAGUGGAGAAUUGCAAUCGAUGGAGACAUUCAAAGAAAAGACUUUGGCACUACAUCAAAAGAGAGUAGAAUAAGUAGUCUUUGCUUAUACAUUUUAAAUGAAAAUAAAUGUUUAUCAUACAUAUUUGCUGUUUUUUAAACUGUAAUUCAAUUACUAAGGCUGAAGGGAAGAAUGGAUGUUGGAUAAAGAACUUUCGAUUCUGUCAUUGUUAGUAUUAUUUGUGUGCGUAUGUGUGUGUGUGUGUGUGUGUGAAUGUUGAGCUUCUCAGCUUCAAUAGUUAGCAGGAAAAAGCACUGAAUCGUGAAGCAUAAACUACAAAUAUAGCAUCUGUAUGAUAUUCUCUUUAAAAAAUGGUAAAAUUCUAGGAAACAGUCUUUGGUGCUUGCUUUUUUAGAAUGAUUGGCAUGGGAUCUGAGUCUUAGUUUCAGCUUUUAUGACUGCUUUUUACUGCAUCAAAUAUUUGACCAGGCAAAGUACAUUUCAAUGAACAGCUUUACUCCCCUUUAAAAGAAUCUGAAAGUCCAGCUAAAACUCCUCAUCAAGUUAGCUGGGAUCAUGGUGUUCAUUUUGGAUGAGGCAAUGUACUAAUUCAUUCAGUCAGCUCGAUUUGACAUUUCUGGGUUAGGGUAUCUUCCUUAAAAGUUACACAAUAAGUUGGAAUUAAAGUGCUCUGCUUGCUUUUGAUAAGACUGAUCAAAAGAGUGAUAGGAGUAAUCACUACUUAGAAUCCUAUUUAAUAAGUAUUUUCCAUUUAUCUAACUCUAAGGAGAAUUUAGGCUAUUUGUCUAGUGAAAUCCAUUUGAUACCAGGAUUUGUUAUGGCCAUUCUACAAUCAGGUGUUCCUAAUGUAAUGAAUGAGAUAAAAAAUAAUUAAGCUAACAUUUAUAUGAUGCUUACUACUUCCAGAAACUGUUAUUAUGCAUUAUUAACUGACUUAAUCCUCCUUACCACUUUAGGGGGUAGAUACUAUUAUUAUUCCUUUUUUUUUCAGAUGACGAAACUAAAGCACAAAGAGAUUAAAGAACUUAUCCAAGGUCAUGCAGCUGGAAAGAAGUGGAUUUGGGAUUGUGAACAUCACAAUUUCACAAACUACAUUUCAUGAUGGGUAGAGCUAGUCAAACGUCUGAAAAUAAAGUUUGGUUUAAAGAUGACCAUCGUCUUGUUAAGAAAUUAUAUAAAUGAGUAUCACUAAAAAGUCUCUCUUUAAACUCACCAAGCACUCUUCACUAUGGACAAGAAAGUGUGAAUAUGGUUAUUUUUUAUUUAAUAUUUUCA